rnacentral:rRNA from 1 species
UUAAAUUUUAUUUAUUAAUUUAUUAAUUUAUUUAAUUAAAAUAUUAAAAAUAAUUAUAUAAUAUAAAGUUUUAGUAUUGUUUAAAGAAAAAAUAAUUUUUAUUAUAGUUUAAUAGUAUUGUAAAAGAAAAUUGAAAUAUUAUGAAAAAAUAUUAUUUUAAAAGAAAAUUUAAUUUAUUGUACCUUGUGUAUCAGUGUUUAUUAAAUAAAAUAUAUUUAUAUUAAUAUAUUUCUCGAUUUUGAAAGAUUUAAUAUAAUAUAAAAGUUAAUGUGAUAAAAUUAUUUUAAAUAUUAUAUUAGAAAUGAAAUGUUAUUCGUUUUCAAAGGUAUCUAGUUUUUCAAGAAAUAAAUUAAAUUUAGAAAUUAUAAAUUUAUUAAUUAAAAUAAUUAAUUUAAUAAUUUAUAAUUUUAAUAUUUUAUGGGAUAAGCUAUAAAAUAAAAAUUUAAAAAUAAUAAAUAAAUUUAAUAAAUAUAUGUUUAGAAUUAGCAAAUAUUAAUAAAUAUGUUAUAAUUUAUUUUAUAAUAAAAAUUAUUUAUUAAAUUUUAAUUAUUUAUUGAAAUAUUAUUUUAAAUUUUAAAAAUUAAGAAAUAAUGAUAAAAUUAGUAUAUUUUUUUGUAAAAUAGUUUUAUAUGAAAAGUUUUAGUAAAG